GCGGUAUCCCUACCGUGCAAAGGUAGCAUAAUCAUUUGCCCUUUAAUUGGGGGCUAGUAUGAAUGGACCAACGAGGGCGGACCUGUCUCCUCCGGUUAAAUAGAAAAUAAUCUCCAGGUGCAGAAGCCUGGAUGCAAAUGAAAGACAAAAAGACCCUAUCGAGCUUCACUUACCACCCAAUAUAUAAGCCCCUACUGGAAACCUAGUAUUCGGUCAAAGUUUUGUUGGGGCGACACUAGAGCAUAACAAGCCUCUUUUAAUACCUCGGCCUCCCGGCCAACCAAUGACCCGGCCAGACCGAUCAAAGGACAAAGCUACCGUAGGGAUAACAGGCUAAUCCUUUCUGAGAGCCCAUAUUGACGAAAGGGAUUGGCACCUCGAUGUUGGCUU
rnacentral:rRNA from 1 species